UUUAUGAUUAUGUUGUGAAUUAAUGAAAAAGCACGAUGAUGAUAGAAAAAUAGAGUCUUUGUUUAUGGUUGAUGAUGUGAAUUGUAAAUGAUGAUGUGAAUUUUGAAUGAUAAGUGAAAUUUCAGUAUGAAUUUUGUACAAUGAAUUGUUGUUAUUUUUUAUUAUGUGUUGGUGCAUGUUGUAAGAGUUUAGAUGUGAUGUUAUUUUGCAGAAUGGGUGACAGUAAUGUGGUGUUCAGAUUUCAUUAUAUGGGAAAAGAUACAGAUAUUGAUGUGGAUGUGGAUACUUGUUUUUGUUGGAUUUGGUGAUUGAAUAUGAGGAUUGUGCUCGUUAUUGGGUUCCUCUACUUGAUAUCCUUAACCCCACCUUUUAUUAUGCCUAUAAAGAGAGACAUUGGCCACUCUUAGAUGAUGAAGACUUGUUGAAAAUGUUUUAAAUGUUUCCCUAAUGAUGGCAUCAUCCAUAUUUGGGUUGUCACUACUAACAAGCCAAGUGCAUUGAAUAGAUAUGUGUUAAAGUUUAGGAAAUCUAAAACUCCUGCAUAUGAACCACCACCGGUUUCUAACCUUAUGCAACCACAACAACCACCCAUAACUUGGAUCUUUGCACCACCACCACCAAUUCAAAACUUGACUGAACCACCCCAACCACAAGUGCUUACUAUAUCUGAACCAUCCCAAUCAGAAGUGCCUACCAUACCUAAACCAUCCCAACCACCAGUGACCAAACUUACAUCUAGGAGGAAUAGUGAGGAGUUGUCUCAGUUGGCAUCAAGUUCAAAUGCACAGUCACUUAAUGAGAUUUAUGUGAAUGAAGAUGAAUUCAUUAUGACUGAUUGUACAUUUGCAGAAUUGCAAGAGGAGUAUUAUGAAAACAGUGAGAAACAAUCUAGAAGGGAAUAUAAUAAGGGUAGGAAAGAAUUUGAAGCUAGUUUGAAAAGGGGGAAAGGCAAGAGUAAGUCUAAGUCCACUAUUACCAACCAGCCCAUGGUCCCCCAAAUGAAAUUACCUCCCUCCCCUGUAUCACCAAACACAGUCUUCAAGACUUUAACCCUUAGAAGGAGUCCAAGAUUUUCUCCUGCUGUAACUGUUCCUGCUACCCCAGUUAGUAAGCCUUCUGAUCCCUUUUUAUUCAAAAGGAGAAUCCCUAAAAGCACAACUAUUAGGAAGGGUAUAUGGGUUAGUUUUUAGACAUUGACUAAACAAGGUGAGUCUAGUAGUGCAGCUGCACAUACACCAGUGAGGAGGAAAAUGAAUUUUGUUGUUGAUGAUGGGGAUGAUCCAGAUGAUGAAAAUGACUCAGAUGGGAAAGAUGAGUCAGAUGACAGUGAUGAGUUCAAGGAGAGUGAUGAGUCAGCUGACUCGGAUGGGGAUAUGAUACCAACUAGAGAUGUUCCAGCUGAUGAGUUGGAGACUGUUAGAAGAUUUCCAAGAGUGAGAGACAGUUGGAUGCCUAGCAAAUGGUAUGGCUUCAUAAAUGAUGACAAUGAUGAUGACUACUUUGAUACUUUAUACAAAAAUGGUGAGAUGUAUGAAGAUAGGGAAUUUGGCAAAAUAAAACUCAGGCAAUGGAUGAUGUUCACUGACAAGGCACACUUCAAGGACACUCUUAAAGACUAUGUUGUGCAGGAAGGUUUUGCAAUCACAGUAGUUUUAAUAGACAACAUGAAGUACACUGCCAUAUGCUCUUUAGAAGCUUGUGAAUGGAGGAUACAUGCUAGGAAGUUACCAGGUGGAAGGACUUGGGCUAUUAAGAAAAACUGGCACAAAUUUCACACAUGCAGGGGGUUGGAAACUUAUAACCCAUAUGUAAUGUCAAAUGGGCUUCUCAGAAGGUCAUGGAAGACAUUAGAGCUAAUCCAGACAUUCCAGGUAAAGCUUUGAAUGAGUUGUUGUUUCUAAGAUAUGGUAUUUAUAUGAAGCAAUCAAAUCUGUAUAGAUUGAAGAGUUAUGUGAUUAAUGAGUUGUUUGGUGGACAUGAUGAAUCAUACUCAAAGCUGCCAUUGUAUGCUAGAGUAAUUAUGCUUACUAAUUCAGAGUCUAAGGCUUUUUGUGCAUGGUAUGAGUUAGAAACUGUUGAGAGACCUAGACUAUUUAAUAGCAUUUUCAUUUCUUUCACUGGACAAUGGAAAGGUAAUCUAAGAGGUUGUAGGCCUUUGAUUGGUGUGGAUGGAACAUGCCUAAAAGGUAACCAUGGAGGGAUCUUACUUUCAGCAGUUGGGUUGGAUGGCAAUAAUGAGAUAUACCCCAUAGCUUAUGCAAUAGUUGGGGUAGAAGACAAUUAAGGAGAGUUGGUCUUUCUUCUUUUGGCAUUUGUUGAAUAUUGUCAAGGACUCUUCGAGGAAAGACUGGACUAUUAUGUCUGAAAAGACAGAAGGGGGUUGAUUUGGCACUUGAGCAAUUAUGGCCAGAAGCAAAAAGGAGGUAUUGAUGUAGGCAUCUAAGUAGGAACUACAAGAAAGUGUUUCUUGGCCCUUUGAUGUACAUACUGUUUUGGAGGGGCUUGUAAAACCACAAAUGCAUUUACUUUCAAAAAGGCUACGGAGAGGUUACAGAAGGAAGGUGGGGAAGAGGUGAUGAAAUGGUUUGCAUUGGGAGAUCAAUCCAAGUGGAGUAAGCACAAGUUUAAUCUAAAUGUUUAAAAUGAUGCAAACACUUUUAACUUUGUGGAAAGCUUUAACUCCACUCUAGGAGUUGACAAGUGUAGGCUUGUUCUAACAUUGUUGAAGGGAUAAGAAGGGUGUGCAUGGUUAGGAUUGUAGCCAAGCAUGAAAAUGGAUUAAAAUGGAAAGAAGAUGAUAUUUGCCCUAAAAUUGCAAAGAUGGUUAAGGAAAUUGGCAAGGCAAGCUCAACAUGCAAGUCUUUCAAGUCAAAACCAGGAGAAUAUGAGAUCCAUGAAGGAAAGUCUCAAUUCCCUAUGAGCCUUAACAGCAAGAUCUGUUCUUGUGGGGCUUGGCAAUUAUCAGGAAUAUCCUGCAGGCAUGCAAUAAGAGAAUUAGUAGAUGCAAAAUGAGACCCCCAUGACUAUGUGAGUUCUUGGUAUUCUGUCAAGACUUAGGCAGGCCUACAGCGUUCACAUCAACCCCAUUCCUGAUAUAGAACAAUGGCCAUAAGAUGACUCCCCUCAUCCUAUAUUGCCUCUAAAAAUGAAGAGAGGGAUAGGUAGGCCUUCUAGGAAUAGAAAGAGAGAAGAAGGAGAGGUGCAACAAGGAAAAAGGUCAUGGACAGUCAAAUGCCAAAAUUGUGGAUGUUUUGGGCACAAUACAAGAACAUGCAAACGGGGUCCAAAUGGAAAAGAGUUAAGAGCAACUGAUGAGCCUAUUGUAAUCAAGAACCCAAGAGUUAGAGACCAGUCUAAUGCAGCAAAGACAGUUAUCUAGGGCAGCAGCAAAAGCAUCUGAGGCUUCAGCAUCUACCAACAAAGGCAAAGGGAAGCAGAAGCAGCCUGCUAAGAAGAAGGGAAGCAGCCUGCCCAAAAGAAAGAAAAAGAGCCUGCUUAGAAGAAAGGAAAGCAGCCUGCUCAAAAGAGAGGAAGGAAAGGAAAAACUCUGAAGCUCCAACUUGAGUGCUUCACAGCUACAAAGUCAGCCAUUUUCCCAGUCUCAGUCUCAGCUGUGAAGACAUUAGUCAAUGAUAGUUUUUUAUUUAGUUGGGAUAAUAAGCUUAGUUUAAUAUGAAAACUUUGGUUUUUGAAUGUAAUGUGCUUGCUUUUGAACACAAAAGUUAGUUUUUGAUGCUAAGAUGGUUUUGAUUGUUAGGUUUUGAACAUAUCAGUUAGCUUUUUAUGCUAAACUUUGCUUUGAUUGUAAUGAACCUGUUUUGGAGGUUAUUGGAUAAUGCAGCAAUUAAAUUGAAGCUUUUAUUG